UAAUAGACCGCAGACUCUUCCACUUUGAAGAAUUAAUAUUGAUGGCAAUAUUGGCAACUGACAAUUUCGCAAGCAAACUACCAAACAGCUGUUUGAAGUAUUUUUCAAAGUGUAAACAUUUUAACUGUCAAGUUAGUUAAUCGAUUUAUUUUUAAUAAAUUGUUUCUGGUUGUACAAUUUAGGUACUAGUUGAAUUUAUCAGAUAAACUAUGAAAUCGCGGGACGGGUAGAAAAAUAAUUCCUUUCAAGUUCUUAUAAGUAAAACAAUAUGACAUAAUAUGUCGGGUUUCCAGGCAAUUAUGGUGUAGUCCAUGUAAUGAGUACGUGCUGACUGCAUUUAAAGAUGAUUGUGUGCAGACUGCGCUCCACACAGAUCUUUUCUGCCCGACUAACAGUGGACGCACCUACGGAAAUAAUUUCAGAAUUUUCUUGGAAUAUGGAGAAUAUUGGAAGAGUCGUCGAAAAUUUAAAAUUGGCUGCGUAGCUUAGUUUUAUACUCUCGCAACAUGUUGCUACAAAGUAUAAGAGUUUUGUUCAUAUAACGGUUGUUUGUAUCACCUAAACUAAUCGAAAUACAAACAGUACUCAACUCUGGUUGCCCAGAGCUCGUUUAUUUACAGAA